rnacentral:tRNA from 1 species
GGGCCCGUAGCUCAGCCAGGUAGAGCGGCGGGCUCUUAACUGCCGUUGACGGAAGUCCCGGGUUCAAAUCCCGGCGGGCCCGCCA